rnacentral:rRNA from 1 species
AGUGAACGCUGGCGGUAGGCCUAGCACAUGCAAGUCGAACGGCAGCACAGUAAGAGCUUGCUCUUACGGGUGGCGAGUGGCGGACGGGUGAGGAAUACAUCGGAAUCUACUUUUUCGUGGGGGAUAACGUAGGGAAACUUACGCUAAUACCGCAUACGACCUACGGGUGAAAGCAGGGGAUCUUCGGACCUUGCGCGAUUGAAUGAGCCGAUGUCGGAUUAGCUAGUUGGCGGGGUAAAGGCCCACCAAGGCGACGAUCCGUAGCUGGUCUGAGAGGACGAUCAGCCACACUGGAACUGAGACACGGUCCAGACUCCUACGGGAGGCAGCAGUGGGGAAUAUUGGACAAUGGGCGCAAGCCUGAUCCAGCCAUACCGCGUGGGUGAAGAAGGCCUUCGGGUUGUAAAGCCCUUUUGUUGGGAAAGAAAAGCAGCAGGUUAAUACCCCGCUGUUCUGACGGUACCCAAAGAAUAAGCACCGGCUAACUUCGUG